rnacentral:misc_RNA from 1 species
GUGCCCGUCCACCGAACGGUCUGCAGGCGAUCCGCGUCGGUCGCGCUGGGUGGUAUGGUUCCCCAGAGGCCGGUUCUUGUGCUGCCUACCCCCUUCAGGGGAAGAGUUCCAAACUCGAUGUAAGCCUCCAUCCGGCGCCCUCCAAAGGGCGCGGGAGGACAACGGAGCACCCCCCGCGUUCCACCGAGCCUCCUCGGUCGCGUGGCCCGNGGGGACGUGCGAUGCUCUCGGACCCAGCGAACGCCGUGGGCGAGGACUCACGUCCCGGUCCCAAGUGAAGCAACGGUAUAACGCACGACGGCCGCUCCCGCCCCCCGACCGCCCCGGCGGCGCGGGGGCGAAGGCGCGGCGUCGCUGAGGAAAUGCU